UACGGAGGGUGCAAACGUUGCUCGGAAUCAUUGGGCGUAAAGCGCACGUAGGCGGCCUGACAAGUCGGGUGCGAAAGCCCUGGGCUCAACCCAGGAAGUGCACUCGAAACUGCCAGGCUUGAAUAUGGAAGAGGGUCGCGGAAUUCCCGGUGUAGAGGUGAAAUUCGUAGAUAUCGGGAGGAACACCAGUGGCGAAGGCGGCGACCUGGGCCAAUAUUGACGCUGAGGUGCGAAAGCGUGGGGAGCAAACAGG
rnacentral:rRNA from 1 species